GACGAACGCUGGCGGCGUGCUUAACACAUGCAAGUCGAACGGUAAGGCCCUUCGGGGUACACGAGUGGCGAACGGGUGAGUAACACGUGGGUGACCUGCCCUGCACUUCGGGAUAAGCCUGGGAAACUGGGUCUAAUACCGGAUAGGACCACUGCCUGCAUGGGUGGUGGUGGAAAGCUUUUGCGGUGUGGGAUGGGCUCGCGGCCUAUGAGCUUGUUGGUGGGGUGAUGGCCUACCAAGGCGACGACGGGUAGCCGGCCUGAGAGGGUGACCGGCCACACUGGGACUGAGAUACGGCCCAGACUCCUACGGGAGGCAGCAGUGGGGAAUAUUGCACAAUGGGCGCAAGCCUGAUGCAGCGAUGCCGCGUGAGGGAUGACGGCCUUCGGGUUGUAAACCUCUUUCAGCACCGACGAAGCGCAAGUGACGGUAGGUGCAGAAGAAGGACCGGCCAACUACGUGCCAGCAGCCGCCGUAA
rnacentral:rRNA from 1 species